GUAGUCCACGCCGUAAACGAUGAGAACUGGUUUUUGUGGGUAUUGACUCCCUCAGAAACGAAGCUAACGCGUUAAGUUCUCCGCCUGGGAAGUACGGUCGCAAGACUAAAACUCAAAGAAAUUGACGGGGGCCCGCACAAGCGGUGGAUUAUGUGGUUUAAUUCGAAGCAACGCGCAGAACCUUACCUAGGCUUGAAAUCCUACGAAUUCGACGUAAUGGUUGAAGUGCCCUUCGGGGAGCGUAGAGACAGGUGCUGCAUGGCUGUCGUCAGCUCGUGUUGUGAAAUGUUGGGUUAAGUCUCGCAACGAGCGCAACCCCUAUCUUUAGUUGCCAGCAUUAAGUUGGGCACUCUAGAGAGACUGCCUGGGUUAACCAGGA
rnacentral:rRNA from 1 species